UUGUAGUAUGCGUUGCUGAAUUACUAUCCCCAGGAUGUGGAUGAUGCGUCUAUCUCAAACCAGGAGUCGACAUUGGGGUAUUGUCGUAAGACAGUGCACCGAGGUCACUAAGGAAGGGUGUACU
rnacentral:SRP_RNA from 1 species